AAAAGGUAAAAUGGCGGCUUAUCAAUCGUGACCUGUUUUGGGACGAAAAUAGAACGAUUCGCCAUUAAGUGCUAUUAGAAUGUAGACAAACGGAAUUUCGCAAAAAUGGAUGUUUUUAUAUAUUUUGUGUGUUUCGUUUUAAUCUUUUUCGCUGAUUAUUGUCGUGCUGUUAUCCCCAAUAAAGACUUCGGAUUUAACCCCUGGGCAGACAGAGAUUGCUUCGACUGCACCUACACCAACCAAGCGAAGGAUGGAAAGAAAAUCAAGAUUGUUUUUGAGGACAUGAUCGACAUCGUUGACAAUAAUUACAAAUGUUCUGACCCCUGGUACGGGAGAGAUCAGUCCAUAAAGACAUGUCCGUCCAAUCGUUGUAUGAAAAUCUACCAGAGGUGGCAUGACCAAGUCCUCAUGAUGAGACGAUGCGAGACCGCCAGCAACGCCUGCGUCCCGAAAGAGGAGUGGUCACCGGAGUAUCAUGUGCACGUCCAGUGUUGCAACAACGUAGACGAAUGGCCACACAAGUCCACCGAGUGUAAUGGAGCCUUCCGUCCAAAAAUCGAACUCGUUGGUGCCAUACUCCUUGCCAAAUUUGCAAUGUUGUUCAAAUGAAAAACGGAUCUACUAGAGAAAAAACUCUGAAACACUACAGCGUGUUCAAUUCAAAAGGAGGUGAACUUGACUUCCAUCUUCACAAACUAUACAUGUAGGCAGUGCAUGGAGCCGAGCAUAUGCACGGGGGUGGGGGGGGG